rnacentral:rRNA from 2 species
GCAUCCGUAGCCGGCUGCUCAAGUUUCCGGUUAAAUCCACACGCUUAACGUAUGGGCUGCCGGAAAUACUGUUCAGCUAGGGAGUGGGAGAGGUAGACGGUACUCGAUAGGAAGGGGUAAAAUCCUUUGAUCUAUUGAUGACCACCUGUGGCGAAGGCGGUCUACCAGAACACGUUCGACGGUGAGGGAUGAAAGCUGGGGGAGCAAACCGGAUUAGAUACCCGGGUAGUCCCAGCUGUAAACGAUGCAGACUCGGUGAUGCAUUGGCUUAUGGCCAGUGCAGUGCCGCAGGGAAGCCGUUAAGUUUGCCGCCUGGGAAGUACGUACGCAAGUAUGAAACUUAAAGGAAUUGGCGGGGGAGCACAA